AGGGUAAAUUAUGUGCAAAAAUUAUACCUAAAUGAUGAUCUAAAAUGCAUGCAUCAAAUUCCCCCAUACUCAAACUCUUGCUUGUCCCCAAGCAAAAUUUCAUUAAAACUCAUUUGGAAGGGAAUAGAAUCAGUCUUUGAAAACACAAAAAUCACUAAUCCAAACCACCAACUUACCUCUAGCCACCAACAUUCCAAAUUCCCACCAGCAAAAGCACAAAGAAUGAAGCAAGCACUCUCAACUAUUACAGAAUAGCUAAGAAUUAACCAAUCAACCCAAGCAACAAAUACCAACCAGCUACAAGAGUCAAUUGUGCCAAAACAAACCUAAAUGAAAUAGAUAGCCAAUGUGUCUCAAAUAGAUGGUGAGUAAUGUAUGGAAGAUUAUAUUGCCAAACCCAUAUGCAAGCAUAAAAGAUCUAACUCUACUAAUGUAACAAGCAUUUUUCAAAGAAUCAUUAGGUCUUUUUAAGGGUUGUAAUGGGGUCUAAUAGGGUAAAAUUGUGGUUAACAAAGAAAGGGAAUAAGGUAAACAAAAUAUGAGAAUAAUAUUAAUCAUGAAAUUCAAAGUGCAUCCAAUAUAUUUUUUUUUUAAUCAUAAUUUUUUUUAUUAUUAUUUUUUGAAUUUAUUUUCUUAUUUUUGACGAUUUUAUAGUGAAAAAUGGCUUC
rnacentral:misc_RNA from 1 species